AAACAACGCUCUGGUAUCACCCGGCGCACCCUCCUUUUUCAUUCACACGCUAGUCAGUCACUCGGACAAACACGAACGUACUACGAACAUCGCCGGCAAAGGACAACUAUGGCGGAAGAAGCAAAACAAUGGCCAGAUUUGGUUGGCAAGCCAGCCGAAGAAGCAAAAACAACUAUUUUAGCUGAAAAUCCGAAGUUGACAGUGGAGAUCCUGGACGAAAAAGCAAUAGUAACCAUGGACUACCGAACAGACAGAGUACGCAUCUUCAAGAACGCAGACGGGAAUGUAGCAUCCGCGCCCAAAACGGGAUAGCGUCCUCGGAACUAUUUUCAUUAGUUUUGUUAUCCGAGGAGUUUAACAUCAGGCCCGUCGACUCUUUACUGUCAUAAAUACCACGUUGGUGGUAUGUUCCAGUAUCUAUACCAGUCAAGAUCCCCAGCAACAAAACUCAUGACCUCAUGUUUAGUAAUUUUCUAUUUCCACACCUAGCAAAAUGGUUGGUUGUGAGCUAGAAAAACAAAAUAACAACACGACCACACGUUUAAUAUGUUUCUAUUUCAAACCUAGCAACAUUAUUGGUUGUGAGUGGUGAGCGAGUAUGAAUACCAAGCAGCAAUGACGACUGGUGUUAUGCUUUCCUUUUAGUAUAAUAAAUACGUUAUUGCUUUA